AGAGGGUGUCAACCAGAUCUA
rnacentral:siRNA from 1 species